AAGAUGGAGUUUCGCUCUUGUUGCCCAGGCUGGAGUGCAAUGGCGCGAUCUCGGCUCACUGCAACCUCCGCCUCCUAGGUUCAAGCGAUUCUCCUGCCUCAGCCUCCCGAAUAGCUGGGAUUACAGGCGCAUGCCACCAGCUCUGGCUAAUUUUUGUAUUUUUAGUAGAGAUGGGGUUUCAUCACAUUGGUCAGGCAGGUCUCAAACUCCUGACCUCAGGUGAUCCGCCCUCCUCGGCCUCCCAAAGUGCUGGGAUUACAGGCAUAAGCCACCACGCCCGGCCUUAAAGUUUCUUAUUUUCAACGAAAAUCAAGUCCCCUCUUUUCACUUUUUAUAAAAGGGACCAGAAGUUUUCCUCCCAUUUUUGUAUGAUGAAAGCCACCGCAGGCAAAGUCAGGAGAGCCACGUCAAGAAAAAGGAGUGGGUGUUACGAGAAGCCCGGCAUCUAAUUAGAUUUUGCUCUUGCAAUUACUUAACACAAACCAUGCCUUAUACAACCCAUGAGACUAAAACAAACUUUUUUCUCUCAGCAUUUCUCCCCUUUUAAGUCAUAUUUCCACGAAUCCUCUCAGAUCAGCCUUUCUCUUCAAGCCUAGAAAAAUUCCAGUAGCACGUCACCGCGCCCGCCCGCCCGCUUCUGCCAAACUACUGGGCUUCCUCUUCCCUAAGACAGAGAAACCCAUGCCAGAAACUCUUCUGGGUGCCCGCGGCUAAAAUAACUUGGCACGAGUGUGUUUCGCUUCCAACUUGGCGAGGGCGCUGCGGGUCUCGAGCGCUCUGGCCAAGGCCGGCCCCUCAGUCGCGCGCUUACCCUGCCGGGGCGAGGCGCGCGCGGUGGCCAGGGCGGCGCCGUCCGGCGCGCGGCUGAGGCUGUAGCUGCUGUAGCCGCUGUGCAGCGCGAACUUGCAGACGUUGCGGCCGCGCGCCGUGCAGUUGAAGAGGUAGCAGCCGAGCACGGCUGCCGGGGGCGCGGGGCGCCGGGGCAGCUCCACCACGGCCACGGAGCAGCGCGGCUCGGAGCAGCAGGCCGCCACGCAUUGCCGCCAGCCCCGCACGGCCGCCGGCGCCCGCAGGAAGCUGGCACCCGCCGCCAGGGAGUCCUUGGUGCGGAUGAUGGCGUCAGGCAUUGCGCUGUAGCCGCCGCUGCCCGGGCCCGGGCAGUCCUCCUGGGGGCCGCCGCCCGCGCGCAGCUCCAGCUCCAGCUCCUCCUGAGGCCGCUCCUGCUGCAGUUGCCGGCGGAACUCCUCCAGCAGCUGCUCCACGCCCGACAGCUGCGCGUGCAGUUCGGACAGCGGCGCCGCGGGCGGCAAGGCCGCACGGCCGCUUGGCAGCCACAGGCAGAGCAGUAGCAGCCCGCGCAGCGCCCCGUGACGCGGCGGUAGCCGGCGCUGCGAGCCCGCGCUCUCCUGGGCGACGGAGGCCAUGGCGACGAGAGCCAAGGGCAGCGAGCCGAGGCGGGGCUGAGCGCGGGAGGAAGGCGGGGACGCGGGCGAGCGCGGGCCCUGGGCCCCUCCUGCGCGGCCGCGGCUGGCUCUAGGCCCCGGCCUCACAGCGCGGCGCCCCCGAACCCGGCUGCUCCCCCGAGGUCGCGGGCGCCGGCGGGAACCGCAGUAGCGGGAGACAUAGCCGGCCCAGCCGGGCACCGCUCCUUGCCCUCGCCGGAGACUGCCCAGCGCCCUGCGCCUCUCCGCCCCGGCCUGCGGCGCGCUGGGUGGCGACGAGUCGGCCUCGGCGUUGAUC
rnacentral:lncRNA from 1 species